CCUGGUCCCCUAUCGCCUCCGCCUAGGCAGCUGCCAUGCGUGCGCCCCCACAGCUCUAGGACCAAUAGGCAGGCCCUAGUGCUGGGACUCGAACGGCUAUUGGUUGGCCGAGCCGUGGUGAGAGAUGGUGCGGUGCCUGUUCUUGGCCCUGCAGAGAGCUGUGGGCGGUUGUUAAGGCGACCGUUCGUGACGUAGCGCCGUCAGGCCGAGCAGCCCCCAGGCGAUUGGCUAGACAAUCGAACGAUCCUCUCUUAUUGGUCGAAGGCUCGUCCAGCUCCGAGCGUGCGUAAGGUGAGGGCUCCUUCCGCUCCGCGACUGCGUUAACUGGAGCCAGGCUGAGCGUCG
rnacentral:lncRNA from 1 species